GUUACAUUUUAUUUUGAUCCACAAAUUUUCUUUUACUUUUUUUGUUCUUCUCUUCUUGUCAAUUUGCAUUCUAAUUUUAUUUGGUUCAUCUUAAAUUCUUUGUAUAGAAGUACCAGUCAAACAAUGAAAAACAAUUGGCUAUGAAUAUUCAUUUUUAUUGCUUUACAAGUUUAUUUCAAUAUGCUUCAUGGAUCCUUUGUGUUUGUUUCCCGUGACCAUUCAUCUGACUCAAUUUUAUAGGCACAAAUGUUUAUGUAAAGAGAAUUCUGAACUCACUUGAAUGAGCACACAUUGACAAUGCACCCUGAAUUUAAAAGCAUGAGUGUCAGGAGAACUUGAUCACUCAUCCAAAGAGGGAACAGAAACAAAAUCCGAGGUCUGCUGAGAACAACAGACACAGAGAGGAGAUAACACAGCAAGCACAAGGAAGUGAAAAGAUAAUGGUAGUUUAGGGCUGAAGGUAACUAAUUUCAUCUAUAAGGAAAAAAAAAAAAAGAUUCAAUACAUAAAAAAACUUAUCUAUAACAAAACAACUGUCAGGCUAGUCUCCAGAUAAAAAUUAGAAUUUCAGGCUAGUAACAGUAACCACUUUUGUGGUAGGUGAAGUUCAAAGCUGACUUUUCAAUUUCAGAAGAUUUCAGCUAUUGCCAUUUCACCUUCUGGCUAGAGGUGGAGUACAGAUGCAGUGGGAGCACAGGCUGCAGUCAUCCCUUCCAGGAGAAAUUUGAGGUUAAAACACUGCUUCUUUAGGAAGAUAAUUGCACUGAAUAAUGUGUAAAAUACCCUGCCCUUGUGAUAUGCAAUGGAUUUGCUAAAAUAAUUAUCCUCAGAGGAAAAAAAAAAAAAAAAGAGAGAGUGUAUGGUUGAACAGAGAGAGAAGGGAAACUCAAAUAUCUCACAAAGAGCUAUUAAUUCAAGCUGCUGCAGAAGAAGUGACAGAGGAAGUAUUAAAGAUCUUGUGCUCCAGCAUUCGUGCUUCUCCAGUCUUGUACUGAGGUAGAUCAAGAAGCUCACGUGAAAGAAAAUGGUGCCUUUUUUUUGUAGGGUUGGCAUUCUUCCAGCAUAGCCUUGCGAAUUACCUUGUCAGCAUCAGUACAAGAGAAGACAGUUUGAGGUUUGCAGUGUGAUGAUGUUAUUACACCCCUUUGGUAGGUCAGCUUAAAUUCUUAUGGACCCCUUCAUCCAUUUUUAUAACAGUAUGUCUCUAAAAGAGAUCACAGAUCUCCAGUCUGAAGUCACUCAGACAAGUCAAGUAGAAAUUUGCCAUUGACUGUAGAAGAA
rnacentral:lncRNA from 1 species